GUAUUUCACAAUAAUGAUAGUGAAGCAGUGGCACAGGUUGUACAGAGAUGCGAUGGUGCCCUGUCCCUGAGGUCAGGCUGGACAAGACCUGGGCACCUGAUGGAGCUGUAGAGGCCCUGUUCACUGCAGGGGAGUUGGACUAGGUAACUUUUAACCGUCCCUUCUAACUUAGAAGAUUCUAUGUAAAAAUUUCAAACAAGUUGAAUUCUUUGCCAAAAAAAAAGUUCAGGAGAGAUUUUUGAGACACUAGACUUAAACUUCGUAUACGCAUUGCAUGCAGUUUUUCCAAAAAGUUGAAGUAAAGAUUGAAGUGUUCUGUUCCAAGACAAACUAAGAUGAAAUACAUUGAUCUUCCUGAUAAAUUGGAUGAGUUUUAAGAUGCAGUGUCAAGCUCCAUACCUUUGUGCAGAGGCGUCAGGUUGUAAUAAUGCCCAGCAGAAAGCCCUGCCAGUUGCUGUGUGAGUUAUCCAGCCCAGGGUGUAACCCUUGGGAGUCCUUCACCUUGAGGGUGAAUAGCUACUCCAUUUCAAUUGACAUGUUUUUUUUUUUCCAAGUGUUGCUCCACAGGAAGCCUUAGCUGAAGUUUGAGCUGAAGAGUACUUAGACAGUGUGACCCGUGAGAUAGGAGUAUGCUGGAGAAGUGCUCAGGUCCAUCACUGGGCUUGCUUUUUUUGGCCCUUUUGCUUGCCUACAUUGUCCAUCUAGAACCCCUGGGAGUUUAUCAAGCAUAGUAUUUUAUUCUGCUGUUGCUGUGUGGGGGUCAGAGGCUGAAGAGUUGCUUGCUGUUCUCCUGGGGAUGCUGUAUACAGAUGUGUGUAUUCAGUGCUCUUAGUUGUGCAGAAUCUUUCUUGCUGCUUUACUGCAGGGAUGGAACUGACUCCUCGUAUCAUGGGAAGUUCAUGUGCAGCAACUGGGAGAAGGAAAGUUCAUCUAGAAGACUUGAUUUUUCUCUUGUCCAGGAAUCUUUAUCUGCUCCUUUCUCACUGCAGUUGAUGUGUUUUGUUCAGAUACACUUUGGUGCAGUGCAUUUAAUAGUCCGUCUUUAAGCUCUCAUAUGGGCAAAACCCAAUGCACUUGGAUUACUUCCACAAGUAUUUAUAGAUAGAUAACACAGCAGAGCAACUGAUGGGAGAACGCUCCUGUUUUAGGAGAGAGAAAGAAAUAAUUGCAUAUGAGACAGCUGUAACUCCGUGCCUGAUGCCACUGUCAAAGGAAGCCUGUGGACCAGCAACCCCCUAUGCACAUGCAUCCAGAGGGGCAGGUCUUCAGGACUUUCUGCUUGUGGACAGCAUCUUAUCGUAGAACCACGGAAUCAUUAAGCAGUCACAUGCUGUUGUGCCCACGCAUGAGGAAGUUGCUGUCAUCUCAGUGUGUCUGUCCUGCUGCUGCUGCCGAGCUGUUUGCAGUCCUCCUGGUCCUGGAACAUAAGGCAGUGAGAUAGCUAACGCAGUGCACUUCAUUAGCAGCUGCUAUUUGUUGAGCCCUCCUAAGCUGUUCUCCAAAGAGCUUUCUGCUGUUUUAUUCUUGUUAGCAAAAAAGCAUGGACUAAAAAUCUUGUACUCCUCUAGUUGUCAGUGUUUUGUUUCCAUUUGGGUUAAUUUGCUCGGGAAGUGGGCAGGUUUUGGAAAAUCAACAUUAAAGCAGAAUGUGGCUUGUUUUCAUCCAUGAAGCUGUGAUAGCAUGUGCCAUCACCCUGGGGCAGGGUUUGCAUAGGCGAUGCAGGAGUCCUCCUGAUAAUUUGGGCAUCCUUGAUAUUUGCUAGGGUCUCACAGUACAUUCCUUGUGCCUGGGGAUGCCCUUCUGGCUGUAAACUUCUUGUUGUGGUGUCAGCCUCUUGUGGCAUGUUCCCAUUCCCUACAAACUUGGUGUUUCAGGAGGGUGGUAAAAAUACUUCAUCUCCUUCCCUUUUGUCUCCCACCAUCUGCUGUGGCUACAGGAAUGUACCGAGAGGCUGCACGCUUUUGGGCACAGGAAUUCAACAAAACUAUAAAUAGAAAUGUUUGUUGUAUAUUGUGCAAAAUCUGUUUUCUGUACCCAAACCUGUAGCUUUUACUCGAGCUGCCUCCCUAACUGCUUCCCUUUCUUGAGUAGCCCCAAGCAUGUGAGAAGUGAGAGUGACAGAAAUCCAUCAUUGUGUCACUCCUAAUAGCCCCCUUGGCAUGGCAACUCGUGUCUGGAAGCAGGCAGCCUGCUUUGAGCCUUGAGCAUACAUGUUUAUGGCAAAUAGACCUGAGCACUAGGGGAGGCUCUUGGUGUCUGGGUUUGCAUGCUGCUUUCUCUGCUGCCUCCACUCCCCUUCCAUAACCUCAAUACUCAGUGUUCAGAUUUCUUUAUUUAAAGUAUAGUCUUGUAAACUUCAAAUAUAUGUGCAAGACAAGCACUGAUAUGUAUUUUUUUCAAGAAGCAGGCUAAAGAUGAAUUUGGCUAUGAUAGUCCUAUAAAUAAAUGACAGGCUGGUUUAAAAAUGAUUCAG